rnacentral:rRNA from 1 species
UGGUGGAGUGAUUUGUCUGGUUAAUUCCGAUAACGAACGAGACCUUAACCUGCUAAAUAGCCUGGCCGGCUUUUGCUGGUCACUGGCUUCUUAGAGGGACUGUCAGCGUCUAGCUGACGGAAGUUUGAGGCAAUAACA